UACGGGGGGGGCAAGCGUUGUUCGGAAUUACUGGGCGUAAAGGGCUCGUAGGUGGCCAACUAAGUCAGACGUGAAAUCCCUCGGCUUAACCGGGGAACUGCGUCUGAUACUGGAUGGCUUGAGUUUGGGAGAGGGACGCGGAAUUCCAGGUGUAGCGGUGAAAUGCGUAGAUAUUGGGAGGAACACCAGUGGCGAAGGCGGCUCACUGGACCGGUACUGACGCUGAUGCGCGAAAGCGUGGGGAGCAAACGGG
rnacentral:rRNA from 1 species